AUUGAACGCUGGCGGUAUGCUUAACACAUGCAAGUCGAACGAUGAGAAAGAGCUUGCUCUUUCGAUUAGUGGCGGACGGGUGCGUAACGCAUAGGAAUCUACCUAUUAGUGGGGGACAACUUAGGGAAACUUAAGCUAAUACCGCAUACGCCCUACGGGGGAAAGAAGGGGAUCGCAAGACCUUUUGCUAAUAGAUGAGCCUGCGUAGGAUUAGCUAGUUGGUGGGGUAAAAGCUCACCAAGGUGACGAUCCUUAACUGUUUUGAGAGAAUGAUCAGUCACACUGGAACUGAGACACGGUCCAGACUCCUACGGGAGGCAGCAGUGGGGAAUAUUGGACAAUGGGCGAAAGCCUGAUCCAGCAAUACCGCGUGUGUGAAGAAGGCCUUAGGGUUGUAAAGCACUUUCAAUUGGAAGGAAAACCUCGAAGCUAAUACCUUCGAGUUUGACAUUACCUUUAGAAGAAGCACCGGCUAACUCCGUGCCAGCAGCCGCCGUAA
rnacentral:rRNA from 1 species